rnacentral:rRNA from 1 species
AGCGAACGCUGGCGGCAGGCCUAACACAUGCAAGUCGAACGGACCCUUCGGGGUUAGUGGCGGACGGGUGAGUAACACGUGGGAACGUGCCUUUAGGUUCGGAAUAGCUCCUGGAAACGGGUGGUAAUGCCGAAUGUGCCCUUCGGGGGAAAGAUUUAUCGCCUUUAGAGCGGCCCGCGUCUGAUUAGCUAGUUGGUGAGGUAAUGGCUCACCAAGGCGACGAUCAGUAGCUGGUCUGAGAGGAUGACCAGCCACAUUGGGACUGAGACACGGCCCAAACUCCUACGGGAGGCAGCAGUGGGGAAUCUUGCGCAAUGGGCGAAAGCCUGACGCAGCCAUGCCGCGUGGAUGAUGAAGGUCUUAGGAUUGUAAAAUCCUUUCACCGGUGAAGAUAAUGACCGUAGCCGGAGAAGAAGCCCCGGCUGACUUCGUGCCAGCAGCCGCGGUAACAC